AUCUAGCCCCGGGUGCAGCGUUACCCUGCAGCAAGGAGGUACGACGAAGCAAAGCGUAAAGCGAAACACGGGAACAAAG
rnacentral:sRNA from 1 species